CACUGUACCGCCUGUGACUCACUGCAUCGGGUUCCUCGCUACUGCUCCAGAUCCUGCCCACUCUUUCAUCUCCCUACCCUUCAAUCCCUCUUCGUUUCCACACGCCAUUGUCGACGCUCCUGCAGACGCCAGCUGCCCCUGCACUUCCCCCGCCUGCACUCUUUCAUCUAUUUGGCUUCAUUGCUCUCGGAUUUUUUCCCCUCACUAUGAUGGCCUCACACGGACCGAAUCUGUGAGGAGAAAUUACUUCAUCAGUUUCGAUAGCUUCAUCCUCCGGCUCUCCUGUACGUUCCUGUCAUUAUUGCUAGGGGAGCCCAAGAACCUCUGAACCAGCUGCAUUGUGCUCCGGUUCCUCCAUUCAUUAAGUCAGGGGAAUAUGUCUGCUUACAGCCCUUUAUCUUCCUUGGCACCAAGAGAUCGAUUGAAAACAAUUUUUGUACGUGUCAUGAGGAAAUGGGAAUUCAGGGGCCUCAACGAUGAUGGCCCUCUGCAGCAUAUUGAUCUUAUCCUAGCAGAUAGCCAGGGAAAUGCUAUGUAUGCUGAGAUACCAUCUGCUGAAGCUGGGAGAAGUUACAUCAUGAGUAGAUUCAGAGUGCGCAAUGCCAAAGAUUAGUUCAAACCUGUCCCUGCUCCGUACAUGCUCGAGCUAACCUGCCACACACGUGUUACCACCGCAGACCCUGGUUCAUUCCCUGAAUAUGUAUACAAUCCAACACCAUUUUCUGAGCUGAAGAAUUUCGUUGGUGACAGGAAAAAAAUUCAUGAUGUGCUAGGUAUAUUGGUUGAAGUUGCGGAGCCUGAAUGGGUCCCCUUUUCCAAUCAGCCUAAGCCAAACUUGCGGAGGAACAUUACAAUCAAGGAUGCCAGUGACAUUGAGAUACAGAUUUCCCUACGGGGACAGAAAGCUUUAAAUUUUACAAUCGAAUCUUCAGAAUCCUCAGUGGAACAUAUACCUACUGCAAUCCUUUUAACAGGCUGCCUUGUGAAGGCAUAUCAACGCCAACUUUACCUAAGUGGUCACUCUGCCUGCCACUGGUACCUAAAUCCAAACAUUCCAGAAUCUCACAAUCUCAUCCAAAGGAAAAUGGCUGCGCUUGCAUUGUCACUAUCACACGGCUACUAGAUGCCACCACAUGGUGGUUCCCUUCUUGCAAUUUCUGUAACAAAACUUGCAAACAGGAGGACGGCGACUUGAUAUGCUAUGAAUGUGGAACUACUAAUAAAUACACAUACAAGUACAAGCUCAGCUUCAUUGCGGGUGAUGGUACUGAAGAGGCCGAAAUGAUCUGUUUCGGAGAAAUUGGACGUCGGAUUAUUGGGAAGCCAGUCAAAACAGUUAUGUGUUCUACGAAACAGGAAGAUUUAAUCCCUCUUGAUAUUGCAUCCAUUGUUUCUUCCAAGUUCACAUUUUGCUGUGACAAUGAGUAAGAAGAGUUAUCGCCUUCCACAAAAAACAUACCAGAUCACAUCAAUUAUCGCUAGCUAUGGAAAACAAAGGAUCGCACAAAAGCACCCUCAAAAUGCACUGCCAACACUCCAGCAGGCUGAUACAUCUGAUGUUGGAAAGCAACCUGGCAGCAGUCAAGUUCAUGGCCUUCCCACUCCAUCAAAGAUACUUCCUAUGCAUUCCAUACAUCUGCAGACUCCAGAAGGAAAAGAUCCUAAGCAUUCUGCAGAUAUAA